rnacentral:rRNA from 1 species
AUUGAACGCUGGCGGCAUGCCUUACACAUGCAAGUCGAACGGCAGCACGGGGCAACCUGGUGGCGAGUGGCGAACGGGCGCGUAAUGCAUCGGAACGUACCUUUCAGUUGGGGAUAACGUAGCGAAAGUUACGCUAAUACCGCCUAUUCUGUGAUCACGAAAGCCGGGGAUCGCAAGACAUUGCCCUGAUUUAGCGGCCGAUGUCAGAUUAGCGAGUUGGUAAGGUAAAGGCCCACCAAGGCGAGGUUCGGUGGCGGGUCUGAGAGCAUGAUCGGCCCAAGUGGAAUUGAGCCACGGUCCAGUGUCCUACGGGAGGCAGCAGGGGGGAAUUUUGGACAAUGGGGGCAACCCUGAUCCAGCCAUGCCGCGUGAGUGAAGAAGGCCUUCGGGUUGUAAAGCUCUUUCGGCCGGGAAGAAAUCGCACGGGCUAAUACCCUGUGUGGAUGACGGUACCGGAAUAAGAAGCACCGGCUAACUACGUGCCAGCCGCCGCCGUAACAC